GCAACUUUCUACACAUUUAUUCAGAUUUUGUAACCCUUGGAUAUGAUGUGUCCUUUAGCAAAAUAUGUAACUGAGACACUCAAAAAGACCUAGUGUGCAUGUAAACCCACUCAUAGACUCUGCAACUGCUGCCACAGGCACUUUACCACACACUGACAUGAUGGGGGGAAUUGAUUGCAGAAUUAAGUGCAGAUGUGCGUUUUUAAUUUGGCAUUGAAUAAUAUUUUCCUGUUGAUCACCUUCAUUACAUCCACCGUAAUUCAACGCCGUAAACAAUAAAUCUCAAAACACAACAUAGAUCUGUUCACGUAAUGCACACAUGGCUCACCAGGACGCCUACAAAUCUAAUAAAAGACCCCAACUGCUGCGAACAUGGCUGGGCUAAACACAGCUU